rnacentral:rRNA from 1 species
UACGUAGGGCGCAAGCGUUGUCCGGAAUUAUUGGGCGUAAAGAGCUCGUAGGCGGUUUGUCGCGUCUGCUGUGAAAUCCCGAGGCUCAACCUCGGGCCUGCAGUGGGUACGGGCAGACUGGAGUGCGGUAGGGGAGAAUGGAAUUCCUGGUGUAGCGGUGGAAUGCGCAGAUAUCGGGAGGAACACCAAUGGCGAAGGCAGCUUGCUGGGACGGUACUGACGCUGAGGCGCGAAAGCGUGGGGAGCAAACAGG